AUUGAACGCUGGCGGCAGGCCUAACACAUGCAAGUCGAGCGGAAACGGCAGUAUUGAAGCUUCGGUGGAUUUACUGGACGUCGAGCGGCGGACGGGUGAGUAACGGCUGGGAACCUGCCCUGACGAGGGGGAUAACCGUUGGAAACGACGGCUAAUACCGCAUAAUGUCUACGGACCAAAGGUGGCCUCUACAUGUAAGCUAUCGCGUUGGGAUGGGCCCAGUUAGGAUUAGCUAGUUGGUAAGGUAACGGCUUACCAAGGCGACGAUCCUUAGCUGGUUUGAGAGGAUGAUCAGCCACACUGGGACUGAGACACGGCCCAGACUCCUACGGGAGGCAGCAGUGGGGAAUAUUGCACAAUGGGGGAGACCCUGAUGCAGCCAUGCCGCGUGUGUAAAGAAGGCCUUCGGGUUGUAAAGCACUUUCAGCAGUGAGGAAGGUAGUGUACUUAAUACGUGCAUUGCUUGACGUUAGCUGCAGAAGAAGCACCGGCUAACUCCGUGCCAGCAGCCGCGGUAAUACGGAGGGUGCGAGCGUUAAUCGGAAUUACUGGGCGUAAAGCGCAUGCAGGCGGUUUGUUAAGUCAGAUGUGAAAGCCCGGGGCUCAACCUCGGAACCGCAUUUGAAACUGGCAGGCUAGAGUCUUGUAGAGGGGGGUAGAAUUUCAGGUGUAGCGGUGAAAUGCGUAGAGAUCUGAAGGAAUACCAGUGGCGAAGGCGGCCCCCUGGACAAAGACUGACGCUCAGAUGCGAAAGCGUGGGUAGCAAACAGG
rnacentral:rRNA from 1 species